UGACGAGUGGCGGACGGGUGAGUAAUGUCUGGGAAACUGCCUGAUGGAGGGGGAUAACUACUGGAAACGGUAGCUAAUACCGCAUAACGUCGCAAGACCAAAGAGGGGGACCUUCGGGCCUCUUGCCAUCGGAUGUGCCCAGAUGGGAUUAGCUAGUAGGUGGGGUAACGGCUCACCUAGGCGACGAUCCCUAGCUGGUCUGAGAGGAUGACCAGCCACACUGGAACUGAGACACGGUCCAGACUCCUACGGGAGGCAGCAGUGGGGAAUAUUGCACAAUGGGCGCAAGCCUGAUGCAGCCAUGCCGCGUGUAUGAAGAAGGCCUUCGGGUUGUAAAGUACUUUCAGCGGGGAGGAAGGGAGUAAAGUUAAUACCUUUGCUCAUUGACGUUACCCGCAGAAGAAGCACCGGCUAACUCCGUGCCAGCAGCCGCGGUAAUACGGAGGGUGCAAGCGUUAAUCGGAAUUACUGGGCGUAAAGCGCACGCAGGCGGUUUGUUAAGUCAGAUGUG
rnacentral:rRNA from 1 species